UACGUAGGGGGCGAGCGUUGUCCGGAUUUAUUGGGCGUAAAGAGCUCGUAGGCGGUUUGGCAAGUCGGGCGUGAAAACUCCGGGCUCAACUCGGAGACGCCACUCGAUACUGCCAUGACUCGAGUCCGGUAGGGGAGUGCGGAAUUCCUGGUGUAGCGGUGAAAUGCGCAGAUAUCAGGAGGAACACCGGUGGCGAAGGCGGCACUCUGGGCCGGUACUGACGCUGAGGAGCGAAAGCGUGGGGAGCGAACAGG
rnacentral:rRNA from 1 species